UGAUAAAAACUCCGGUGGUACAAGAUGGACCCGCGUCUGAUUAGCUAGUUGGUAAGGUAACGGCUUACCAAGGCGACGAUCAGUAGCCGACCUGAGAGGGUGACCGGCCACAUUGGGACUGAGACACGGCCCAAACUCCUACGGGAGGCAGCAGUGGGGAAUAUUGCACAAUGGGCGAAAGCCUGAUGCAGCGACGCCGCGUGAGGAAGAAGUAUUUCGGUAUGUAAACUCUAUCAGCAGGGAAGAAAAUGACGGUACCUGACUAAGAAGCCCCGGCUAACUACGUGCCAGCAGCCGCGGUAAUACGUAGGGGGCAAGCGUUAUCCGGAUUUACUGGGUGUAAAGGGAGCGUAGACGGUUAAGCAAGUCUGAAGUGAAAGCCCGGGGCUCAACCCGGUACUGCUUUGGAAACUGUUUGACUUGAGUGCAGGAGAGGUAAGUGGAAUUCCUAGUGUAGCGGUGAAAUGCGUAGAUAUUAGGAGG
rnacentral:rRNA from 1 species